AUUGAACGCUGGCGGCAGGCCUAAUACAUGCAAGUCGAGCGGAGCGGCGGACGGGCGAGUAAUGCCUAGGAAUCUGCCUGGUAGUGGGGGAUAACGUCCGGAAAGGGGCGCUAAUAUCGUAUCCUACCUGCUGCGCUUAGGUCGGAUUAGCUAGUUGGUGGGGUAAAGGCCUACCAAGGCGACGACCCGUAACUGGUCUGAGAGGAUGAUCAGUCACACUGGAACUGAGACACGGUCCAGACUCCUACGGGAGGCAGCAGUGGGGAAUAUUGGACAAUGGGCGAAAGCCUGAUCCAGCCAUGCCGCGUGUGUGAAGAAGGUCUUCGGAUUGUAAAGCACUUUAAGUUGGGAGGCGUUACCAACAGAGUAAGCACCGGCUAACUUCGUGCCAGCAGCCGCGGUAAUAC
rnacentral:rRNA from 1 species